rnacentral:sRNA from 1 species
GCUGGGUGCAGUGGUGCAUGCCUAUAAUCCCAGCCUCUCAGGAGGCUGAGGCAGGAGGAUGGCGAUUUCAAUGCCAGCUUCAGCAACUUAGUGAGAUCCUAAGCAACUUCGCAAGACCCUGUCUUAA